rnacentral:rRNA from 1 species
UACGAAGGGGACUAGCGUUGUUCGGAUUUACUGGGCGUAAAGCGCGCGUAGGCGGAUCGCUAAGUCAGGGGUGAAAUCCCGGGGCUCAACCCCGGAACUGCCUUUGAUACUGGGUAUCUCGAGUCCGGAAGAGGUGAGUGGAAUUCCGAGUGUAGAGGUGAAAUUCGUAGAUAUUCGGAGGAACACCAGUGGCGAAGGCGGCUCACUGGUCCGGUACUGACGCUGAGGUGCGAAAGCGUGGGGAGCAAACAGG